rnacentral:rRNA from 1 species
UACAGGGGGUGCAAACGUUGCUCGGAAUUAUUGGGCGUAAAGCGCACGUAGGCGGUUCGUUAUGUCGGAUGUGAAAGCCCUUGGCUCAACUGAGGAAGUGCAUCCGAAACUGGCGAGCUAGAGUAUGUAAGAGGGUCGCGGAAUUCCCGGUGUAGAGGUGAAAUUCGUAGAUAUCGGGAGGAACACCGGUGGCGAAGGCGGCGACCUGGGACAAUACUGACUCUGAGGUGCGAAAGCGUGGGGAGCGAACAGG